AUAAGAUUCAUAGUCGAAAGGGCAACAGCCCAGAUCGUCAGCUAAGGUCCCUAAAUGUAAGUUAAGUGGUAAAGGAUGUGGGAUUGCACAGACAACCAGGAUGUUGGCUUAGAAGCAGCCACUCAUUCAAAGAGUGCGUAAUAGCUCACUGGUCGAGUGAUCCUGCGCCGAAGAUUUCCGGGGCUAAAACUUACUACCGAAGCUACGGCAUCAGUAAUGAUGGGUAGGGGAGCUUCCCAUACGGGUUGAAGCAUGACCGUAAGGACAUGUGGACAGUAUGGGAGUGAGAAUGUUGGCAUGAGUAGCGAGAUGUGGGUGAGAAUCCCACAGGCCGUAAACCCAAGGUUUCCAGGGGAAGGUUCGUCCGCCCUGGGUUAGUCGGGACCUAAGCUGAGGCCGAAAGGCGUAGGUGAUGGACAACAGGUUGAUAUUCCUGUACUACCGAUAACCGUUUGAGAGAAGGGAUGACACAGUAGGAUAAGCUAAGCACACUGUUGGUUAUGUGUGCCCAAGCAUUGAGGCAGUCAAAGUAGGCAAAUCCGCUUUGAUAAUGCUGGGAUGUGAUGGGGAGCGAAAUUUAGUAGCGAAGUAGCUGAUUUCACACUGUCAAGAAAAGUCUCUAUCGAGGUUAAAGGUACCCGUACCGCAAACCGACACAGGUGGGUGAGGAGAGUAUCCUAAGGCCAGCGAGAGAACUGUUGUUAAGGAACUCGGCAAAAUGACCCCGUAACUUAGGGAUAAGGGGUGCCACCAUCAGGUGGCCGCAGAGAAUAGGCCCAAGCGACUGUUUACCAAAAACAUAGGUUUCUGCUAAGUCGCAAGACGAUGUAUAGGAGCUGACGCCUGCCCGGUGCUGGAAGGUUAAGGGGAUCUGUUAGAGCAAUCGAAGCAGUGAACUUAAGCCCCAGUAAACGGCGGCCGUAACUAUAACGGUCCUAAGGUAGCGAAAUUCCUUGUCGGGUAAGUUCCGACCCGCA
rnacentral:rRNA from 1 species